GACGGAGGGUGCAAGCGUUGUUCGGAUUGACUGGGCGUAAAGGGCGUGUAGGCGGUCGGCCAAGUCUGAUGUGAAAGCCCGAGGCUCAGCCUCGGAAGUGCGUCGGAAACUAGUCGGCUGGAGCGCGAUAGAGGAGGGUGGAAUUCCUGGUGUAGCGGUGAAAUGCGCAGAUAUCAGGAGGAACACCGAUGGCGAAGGCAGGUCUCUGGGCAUUAACUGACGCUGAGGAGCGAAAGCAUGGGGAGCGAACAGG
rnacentral:rRNA from 1 species